UGCUCAGACAAUGUUUUCCAAUAACAAAUUAUUCCUUUUAGUACAAAAGUACUGGUGAGAAUCAUUUUCUUGGAAUUAUCAGUAUGCAACCUAAUGAAGCCUUGCCAAUAAAUGGAAGAACUCUCUGGGCCCGGGCAUCUUCCCAGGGCUUCUCACACUCACGUCACAGUGCUGGGAUAGUUCAUAGCCUCCGGCCUUACUGCUUAUCUAGGCCCUUCAUCCAAAAUUUCCUUUUUGGAUGCAGCCUGAUGUUGUCCCUUUAAAUUUGAUAAAGGUUAUUUUAUUUACUUUUUUAUUUUUUUGAUAAAGGUUAUUUUAGUAUCUUUAUCAGCUGGAACUUUUGCUUGGUGUAGAAUGACCUCCACAUUUGGAACAAAUUCUUCAGUGCUGAAAGUCUGGAUCAGAACAUCUGAAUCAAAAGCAGCCAACAUAUUGGAUCUGCUGCACGUUCCUAAAUAUUGAUGGCUUAUCUUUGUAUGGGCCUACAGACCGUUUGGGCAGAGCUGAGGCUGAACAAUCUUGGAAGAAUUGAAUGGGCAGUGUACUUGGUCUUCUACUGGAUACAACAAAGAUAUGCCUGAGAGGGGACUCUGGGAGUAACACGUGACCACGAACGGAUUGAACACCCACAUUCAUGUCUUCAUGAACCACUUCAGACACUCACUCAUGUCUUUCCUCCUGUGUUGUUCAUCUCAUCCAUAUUCUCCACUUCGAAGCAAGGCACUCCCACGUGACAGCAAAAUGGAUUCCAAGGAAAGCUUUUGUUCACACAAGAGUUGAAAAGGAGCCGAGGUCCUGUCUCUGGUUGACUUGACUAGGGUCAUCUGCUCAUUCCUAUGUCUGCAUCCCGAGGGAUAGGAUGUACCUGUGUACCUAGGCCGUCAGAGUUCAUCUUUUGACAUUGAGAAUGGUAUUGAUGCCAGGAAAGAAGCUCAAUAUCUAUCAGAUCCCUUUGAAUUCUGGAAACAAUGUCGUGCUGCAUUUGGGAAUACUAUGAAGCUUUUGUGAAGUUUCCUGUUUUGAAUGAAGUUCAGAGCAAGAAGGAGUCCUGCGUAGUCCAGGCUGUGAUCUUUCAGUCUUACCUGCUUCAUAGAACUUCAGCUACUUGUUCUGCAUCAUCACGAUGGCCUAAAUCCGUGGUUCAGCCACCUGAGGCCUAUCAACCGCACACCUGGAGUUUCUGACUUCUUUGACUUCCAAACUUGACGAAAAAACACAUCACAGAGUGAGGAAUCUGGAUUCCCAAGUAGUUGCCAAAGGGCCCCAAUCAUAUGCCCAGAGUGGAAGGUAGUUAUCUCCCUAUGGGGUGAAAUUUAACCAACGCCAGGAGAUGAGAAGGAAACAACUAGAUAAAUUCCUUUUCUCUCAAAGGAAUUUAUUGUAAGCAUGGUUUCUCAAUAGUCAGCCUGUGGGAAUAUAUCCUAUUCAGCUUAGUCAGUGAUAUAAUGGGGCUGGCUCCUACCAUCUUGUGAGAGCCAUUUGUAUGCAUCUCUUUCCAACGAUGUCAUACUGGUAGCUUAACAUCAGUGAAAACAGGACUAUUUGUGCCACGGAAACUAGAGAACAGUAGAAAUCAGGGCCUUUCCUCCAUGGUGAACUGGCUGUUAAAUAUUUACUCCACCCGCCACUGAGCCUAAUGGACAUACCUGCUGAAUGUCUUGGUGGGUCUCUUUGUGGCUCAUCAUGAAGCCAGGAGCAUAACUGUAAGGUGUCACCUAGCAUUGUUACCCACCUGUUUGCUGCUUGGUGUUCUCCAACUUUCCUCUCAUUGUCAUCGUGUAUCAUCUACCAAAUA